CUCAUCUAUGUACUGCUGCUCUUCAGAAUUUUUUUCAAACAAUAACAUCAUUAUUAGAUUGUCAUUAUUAUGAUUCUUAUUAUUACAAAACAGAAGGUAAAUGAGUGCUCUCUGCAUCCUUUUUUCCAUCGCAUCCUAUGUUUGAGCGUAAUUGACUACGGGUCAGUGAGCCGACGGCUCGCGCAACUGGCUAACGAGUGGUCGGUGCCGGAAGCAAGCGCACAAACCUUUAAUUAUAGCUGAGACAAAAAAAAGGAUUCAAAAUUGGGAG
ensembl:ncRNA F14F3.7 ncRNA